UACGUAGGCAGCGAGCGUUGUUCGGAGUACUGGGGCGUAAAGAGUGCGUAGGCGGUUUUCUAAGUUUGGUGUGAAAUCUCCCGGCUUAAACUGGGAGGGUGCGCCGAAGACUGGAAGGCUUGAGUAUGGGAGAGGUAAGCGGGAAUUCCUGGUGUAGCGGUGAAAUGCGGUAGAGUAUCAGGAGGAACGACCUGCGGUGUGAGACGGCUUCGUGGACCUAACUGACGCUGAGGCACGAAAGCGUGGGUAGCAAACAGG
rnacentral:rRNA from 1 species